rnacentral:rRNA from 1 species
CCUCUUGCCAUCGGAUGUGCCCAGAUGGGAUUAGCUUGUUGGUGGGUAACGGCUCACCAAGGCGACGAUCCCUAGCUGGUCUGAGAGGAUGACCAGCCACACUGGAACUGAGACACGGUCCAGACUCCUACGGGAGGCAGCAGUGGGGAAUAUUGCACAAUGGGCGCAAGCCUGAUGCAGCCAUGCCGCGUGUAUGAAGAAGGCCUUCGGGUUGUAAAGUACUUUCAGCGGGGAGGAAGGGAGUAAAGUUAAUACCUUUGCUCAUUGACGUUACCCGCAGAAGAAGCACCGGCUAACUCCGUG